rnacentral:rRNA from 1 species
ACAUUUCCUUUAGAUUAUCUUAAAGGUAAAGCCUGCCCACUGCGUAAGUGAAGGGCCGCGGUAUCUUGACCGUGCAAAGGUAGCAUAAUCAUUAGUCUCUUAAUUAGAGAAUGGUAUGAAUGGUUAGAUGAUUUGUUGUUAUAAUAUUAUACUAAGUUAAAAUUUGAAUUAAAAGUGAAAAUGCUUUUGUUCUUCUAAAAGACGAUAAGACCCUAUAGAACUUUAUUUAAUCUUGUUGGACAUAUAAUAUUAGGUUUAAUUGGGGCAUUUAACGAGUAAUAAUAAUUUCUUUUUAGUUUAUUUAAGGUAUCUUUAAUAAAAUAUCACACAAAAGUUACCUUAGGGAUAACAGCGUAAUAUAGAUUGAGAGAUCAUAUCGACAUUUAAUUUUGCGACCUCGAUGUUGAAUUAAAAUUUCUUGCUGGGGCAGUAUUUAGUAGGGACAGUCUGUUCGACUAAUAAAAUUUUACAUGAUUUGAGU